rnacentral:rRNA from 1 species
AUAAUGGAGAGUUUGAUCCUGGCUCAGGACGAACGCUGGCGGCGUGCUUAAUACAUGCAAGUCAACUGAACUUUAGGUAGCAAUAUUUAAAGGGAGGUGGCGCACGGGUGAGUAACACGUAGGUAAUCUGCCUUCAGGACUGACAUAAUUCCGCGAAAGCGGGACUAAUAUCAGAUGAUGCAGCGGCUCGACAUCGAGACAGUUGUUAAACCUUCGGGGCCUGAAGAUGAGCCUGCGUCUGAUUAGGUAGUUGGAGGGGUAAUGGCCCACCAAGCCUGCGAUCAGUAGCUGGUCUGAGAGGAUGAUCAGCCACACUGGAACUGAGACACGGUCCAGACUCCUACGGGAGGCAGCAGUAAGGAAUAUUGCUCAAUGGCCGAAAGGCUGAAGCAGCAACGCCGCGUGGAGGAUGAAAUACUUUAGUAUGUAAACUCCUGUAAGAGGGGAAAAAUAUACAAUUAUGUUGUAUUGAUUGUACCCUCAGAGUAAGCACCGGCUAACUACGUGCCAGCAGCCGCGGUAAUACGUAGGGUGCUAGAGUUGUCCGGAUUUACUGGGUGUAAAGGGUGCUCAGGUGGGUUUGUAAGUCAGAGGUGAAAUCCCAAAGCUUAACUUUGGAGCUGCCUUUGAUACUGCGAGCCUGGAGUUUGAGAGAGGGCAAUGGAAUAUCUGGUGUAGCAGUGAAAUGCGUAGAUAUCAGAUAGAACACCAAUGGCGAAGGCAGUUGCCUGGCUCAAAACUGACGCUAAAGCACGAAAGUGUGGGGAG